rnacentral:rRNA from 1 species
CCUACGGGUGGCUGCAGUGGGGAAUAUUGGACAAUGGGGGCAACCCUGAUCCAGCCAUGCCGCGUGUGUGAAGAAGGCCCUCGGGUUGUAAAGCACUUUCAGUGAGGAAGAACGCCUGGUGGUUAAUACCCAUCAGGAAAGACAUCACUCACAGAAGAAGCACCGGCUAACUCCGUGCCAGCAGCCACGGUAAUACGGAGGGUGCGAGCGUUAAUCGGAAUUACUGGGCGUAAAGCGCGCGUAGGUGGCUUGAUAAGCCGGUUGUGAAAGCCCCGGGCUCAACCUGGGAACGGCAUCCGGAACUGUCAAGCUAGAGUGCAGGAGAGGAAGGUAGAAUUCCCGGUGUAGCGGUGAAAUGCGUAGAGAUCGGGAGGAAUACCAGUGGCGAAGGCGGCCUUCUGGACUGACACUGACACUGAGGUGCGAAAGCGUGGGUAGCAAACAGGAUUAGAUACCCGGGUAGUC